rnacentral:rRNA from 1 species
GACGAACGCCGGCGGCGUGCUUAACACAUGCAAGUCGAACGAUGAACCGGAGCUUGCUCUGGGGAUUAGUGGCGAACGGGUGAGUAACACGUGGGCAACCUGCCCCAGACACCGGGAUAACCAUUCGAAAGGAUGGCUAAUACCGGAUACGACCACUUCGGGCAUCCGAUAGUGGUGGAAAGGAUUCUGGUCUGGGAUGGGCCCGCGGCCUAUCGGCUUGGUGGUGGGGUAAUGGCCUACCAAGGCGACGACGGGUAGCCGGCCUGAGAGGGCGACCGGCCACACUGGGACUGAGACACGGCCCAGACUCCUACGGGAGGCAGCAGUGGGGAAUAUUGCGCAAUGGGCGAAAGCCUGACGCAGCGACGCCGCGUGAGGGACGAAGGUCUUCGGAUUGUAAACCUCUUUCAGCAGGGAUGAAGCGAAAGUGACAGUACCUGCAGAAGAAGCACCGGCUAACUACGUGCCAGCCGCCGCGGUAACAC